rnacentral:piRNA from 1 species
AAACGGAUGCGAUGACGAUCGGCUGGU